rnacentral:rRNA from 1 species
UGAAAUAAACCUGAUGAGUUGCUGCUGGCUCUUUACAGGGCAUGUGCACACUUGUCGUCUUUAUAUCUCCACCUGUGCACCUAUUGUAGACCUGGAUAACUCUCUGAAUGUGCUAGCAUUCAGGUAUGAGGAUUGACUUUCUGCCUCUUCUUACAUUUCCAGGCCUAUGUUCUUUCAUAUAACCUCAAUGUAUGUUAAGGAAUGUGUAAUACUAUAAGGCUUUUAUGCCUCGUAAACCUAUACAACUUUCAGCAACGGAUCUCUUGGCUCUCGCAUCGAUGAAGAACGCAGCGAAAUGCGAUAAGUAAUGUGAAUUGCAGAAUUCAGUGAAUCAUCGAAUCUUUGAACGCACCUUGCACUCCUUGGUAUUCCGAGGAGUAUGCCUGUUUGAGUGUCAUUAAUAUAUCAACCUCUCAAGCUUUUUUGCUUGUGGAGUGUUUGGAUGUGGGGGGAUCAUUUUGCUGGCCUCUUUUCUGAGGUCAGCUCCCCUGAAAUGCAUUGGCAGAAUGAUUUGCUCACUGUUCAUUGGUGUGAUAACUAAUCUACGCUAUUGACGGUUGAAAAGCAAAGUCCAGCUUAUAACAGUCCAUUGACUUGGACAACAUGUUUUAUUAAUGUGACCUCAAAUCAGGUAGGACUACCCGCUGAACUUAAGCAUAUCAAUAAGCGGAGGAAAAGAAACUAACAAGGAUUCCCCUAGUAACUGCGAGUGAAGCGGGAAAAGCUCAAAUUUAAAAUCUGUCAGUCUUUGGCUGUCCGAGUUGUAAUCUAGAGAAGUGUUGUCCGCGCUGGACCGUGUACAAGUCUCCUGGAAUGGAGCGUCAUAGAGGGUGAGAAUCCCGUCUUUGACACGGACUGCCAGGGCUUUGUGAUGCGCUCUCGAAGAGUCGAGUUGUUUGGGAAUGCAGCUCAAAAUGGGUGGUAAAUUCCAUCUAAAGCUAAAUAUUGGCGAGAGACCGAUAGCGAACAAGUACCGUGAGGGAAAGAUGAAAAGAACUUUGGAAAGAGAGUUAAACAGUACGUGAAAUUGCUGAAAGGGAAACGCUUGAAGUCAGUCACGUUGUCCAGGGAUCAACCUUGCUUUUGCUUGGUGUACUUUCUGGUUGACGGGUCAGCAUCAAUUUUGACUAUUGGAAAAAGAUYGGGGGAAUGUGGCAUCUUUGGAUGUGUUAUAGCCCUUGGUUGCAUACAAUGGUUGGGAUUGAGGAACUCAGCACGCCGCAAGGCCGGGUUUUAACCACGUACGUGCUUAGGAUGCUGGCAUAAUGGCUUUAAUCGACCCGUCUUGAAA